CGAGCACGUAGGGGGUUUGUAAGUCAGAUGUGAAAGCCUUCUGUUCAACGGGAGAAUUGCAUCUGAAACUGCUAAUCUUGAGUAUAGGAGGGGAGAAUGGAACUUCUGGUGGAGCGGUGAAAUGCGUAGAUAUCAGAAGGAACGCCGGCGGCGAAAGCGAUUCUCUGGCCUAUUACUGACACUCAGUGUGCGAAAGCUAGGGGAGCAAACGGGAUUAGAUACCCCGUAGCUUGCAU
rnacentral:rRNA from 1 species